UACGGGGGGUGUGAGCGUUAAUCGGAAUAACUGGGCGUAAAGGGCACGCAGGCGGACUUUUAAGUGAGGUGUGAAAUCCCCGGGCUUAACCUGGGAAUUGCAUUUGAUACUGGGAGUCUAGAGUACUGUAGGGAGGGGUAGGAUUCCACGUGUAGCGGUGAAAUGCGUAGAGAUGUGGAGGAAUACCGAAGGCGAAGGCAGCCCCCUGGGAAUGUACUGACGCUCAGGUGCGAAAGCGUGGGGAGCAAACAGG
rnacentral:rRNA from 1 species